AUGGUGGUGCCCACAGAGGCGGAUGAAAGCUCGGCCAAGGCGGCGGAGCUCCAAUCUUUCGACACUCUCGGCCACGUGGGCUUGCACGCGGGGCGGUGGCCGUGGCCGCCCAAAACAGCAGACGAGGACAUGGUUGCGCCGGCCAAAGAUGUUCAACGUGCACAUAUUUCCUUGGCAAAAUUGGCUCUUGCACACAGUGCACUCGGGACACAGCAGUUGUUCAUGUCAACCCACAUCGCUGAGGAAGUGAGGACGGCCGAAGAACCGACCGACCGACCGAGCGAUGUUCCAAUUCCCCGCCCGUCCCGCUUCAUCCCUCAUAUUUGCAAAGUCGAUACAUCUGACAGCUAUAUUAAGGCUAAUCUAUGCCCAACUAAACAAGGGGGGCAGGUUAGAUCGAGAAUUCGCGAUUCGUGUCCGGCUCCAUGGAUGGAGCAGCCAGCCAUUUGUGGCCAGAUGAUGCUCAUGGUCUCAUGGACUAGUUUAAUCGCAGGACUAAUUAAGUGCUCUUCUCCUAAUCGGCUGGAGGAAUUAGGAGCAAGUAGUAUCAUGCAAAAAGAUAUGGCAGGCAGUACUAGCAGCAACGAGCAAGCAAGAAAGCAGCCGAUCGCAUUCGAUGAGGAGGACAUGGCAGGCCAGAUCGGGGAACCGAUGCUGAAUAGUGAUAGCGUAGCAGCACAAGAAGAAAGUAGUAGAAGAAGAGAUUGGUGCAUGCACCUUGCGAAACAGGGGACGGAUUCGCCCGUGGUUUUGCUGCGGUGCGGGGGCAGGAGUAUCUCUCCCGAUGCCCGAUCUGCCUCGUCCUCCUCCUCAUGCCUGCUCACAGAUGCAUGCAUCGGCUUGCUUGCCUGCUGCUGCUGGUGCGGACGGAGAUCAUGUUUUUCACUUUUUUCUCCUGUGGAAGACAAGCGCCGAUUAGGGUUUGAGCAUCUGUUGCGAUCUCAUCCGUUCCUUGUCUCCGGUCGCGUUCGGCAAAGCGAGGGGACCUUAAAUCCUUCUAACAAUGCUCAAAAGUCCACAUUACUACUAUUCGGCAUAAUAGAUUGCACAUGUGUUCAUGGAGAUAUAGUUUCCUUUUUACGGACGUGGAUGGUGCCGCUGGCCAAGUGGCCAAAUGUGCCACAUGGCCAUCCUUCCGUACAGCUAGCUGGUUCAUCCCCCCUCUCCGGUACCCAAGGAGAGCGACGGACGGAGUAUAUAUUGACCUCGCCGGCUCGCCGCAAAGCUAACAACCACUCCAAAUCCAGCCCAACGAAGCAAUCGCCUCGCAACAAUCCAUCUUCCCCGCUUCCGUUCCGCUCCGUUCCGUUCCAGUCCACACAUCCAGGUCACGCCGUCCUGCUCCGGUGCGACGCCUCCAUGGCCGCCGGUUCCACCUCUUACGGCAGCAGCAGCGGCAGGAGGAGCUUUCUGGCUCAGGCGGCGACCGCCAAGCAACGACGCGCGCCGGCGCCGGCGGGGAACGGCGGGAAGAGCGACGGAGGAGGGUACUUCGGGCCGGAGGCGGCGGUUGUGCUGGCGCUGAUGACGGCGGCGCUGCUGGUGCUUCCACUGUUGCUGCCCCCGCUGCCGCCGCCGCCGCCGCUGUUCCUGUUCGUGCCCGUCGCCAUCCUGGCCGUGCUGCUCCUGCUCGUGCUCCUGCCCUCCGAUGCCAGGGGCCUCCGCGUUGCGCCAUCCUACCUGAUCAGCUUCAGCCAGGCGGUGUUCGACGGCCAGGGCGCGGCGCAAUUCCUCACGGCGGUGGGGGAGGGAGCGCGGGGGCUCCAGGUGCCGUCAGUGACUCCUGUGUGGGACCGCGACGCGAUCCCAGACCCUCCCAGCGGGCCGCCGCCUCAGCUCACGGAGUUCAGGCUCGUGACCCAGGUGGCCGACAUAUCGGCGGAGAGCAUCGCUCGCAUCAAGGACGAGUUCAAGCAGGCUGCCGCGACAUCGAGGGGAGAGGUUUGCUCCACCUUUGACGCGGUAAUGGCCGUAGUGUUCAAGUGCCGCGCGCUGGCGCUGGCAUCAGCGCUCCCUGACGACGCCGCUGUCCGGAUCGCCUUCGCCGCCGGCACGCGACACCUGCUCCGUGGUGUGCUGCCGGCGGUGGACGGCUACUACGGCAACUGUGCGUACCUGGCGUGCGUCACUAUGGCAGGCAAGGCCGUCCGCAAGGCCCGAGCUAUGCUGGGCCGGCCCAUUACCGCUUGCCUUCGGUCGCCAGGUGCAACUGGAGGGGUUGAACAGGGCCCCAAAAAUUGGAGGGCCUCCCAUUCUAGGUACGGCCGGGAGGCGUCGCUGGCGGAGGUCGUCGGCGCGGUACGUAAGGCGAAGGAGGCUGUCCCAGCGCAGUUUGCCGGCUGGAUGCGCGGCGUCGAUCACUACGACGUGCCGCUGGACUACAGCACGGUGACGGUGUCAGACUGGAGCGAGCGCCACGCUGGCCAGUGCGCGUGUCGCCUGAACAACGGCCUCCGCCUCCUGCUCCGCCGCCGCCGGAUUCGCUCCCCCCACCAGCCGGCACCGACCGUUCCCGCACCACCGCGCCGCCUCCCUCCCGCCGGCCACCAUCUAGCCGCGCGCGCGAUCCGGGGAGGGGGGGCGAUGAACGGAGGCAUCGCUCCGCCGCCGGCCGCGGCCGCGACGGAGGCGGAGACGGCGGCGACCACGCCGAGCCACCGGCGGCUGCCGGACUUCCUCCAGAGCGUGAACCUCAAGUACGUGAAGCUGGGGUACCACUACCUCAUCACCCACCUCAUCACGCUGCUGCUGCUGCCGCUCAUGGCCGUCAUCGUCCUCGAGGCCGGCCGCACCGACCCCGACGACCUCCGCCAGCUCUGGCUGCACCUCCAGUACAACCUCAUCUCCGUGCUCGUCCUCUCCGCCGUCCUCGUCUUCGGCGCCACCGUGUACGUGCUCACCCGCCCCCGCCCCGUCUACCUCGUCGACUUCGCCUGCUACAAGGCGCCUGACCACCUCAAGGUCGGCUUCCAGGAGUUCCUCCGCCACUCGGCGCUCUGCGGCUUCUCCGACGACGCCCUCGAGUUCCAGCGCAAGAUCCCUGGCCAGCGUGGCGCCUGA
rnacentral:rRNA from 1 species